rnacentral:rRNA from 1 species
UACGAAGGGGGCUAGCGUUGCUCGGAAUUACUGGGCGUAAAGCGCACGUAGGCGGUCUUUUAAGUCGGGGGUGAAAUCCUGGAGCUCAACUCCAGAACUGCCUUCGAUACUGGAAGACUUGAGUCCGGGAGAGGUGAGUGGAACUGCGAGUGUAGAGGUGAAAUUCGUAGAUAUUCGCAAGAACACCAGUGGCGAAGGCGGCUCACUGGCCCGGGACUGACGCUGAGGUGCGAAAGCGUGGGGAGCAAACAGG